rnacentral:tRNA from 1 species
AUUUAUUUAGUAUAAAAGUACCUUUGAUUUCCAAUCAAAAAGUCUAAAUAUUUUAGAAUAAAUA